UACGUAGGUGGCAAGCGUUGUCCGGAUUUAUUGGGUUUAAAGGGUGCGUAGGCGGUUCUAUAAGUCAGUGGUGAAAUACGGCAGCUCAACUGUCGAGGUGCCAUUGAUACUGUAGAACUUGAGUACAGACGAGGUAGGCGGAAUUGACGGUGUAGCGGUGAAAUGCUUAGAUAUCGUCAAGAACACCGAUAGCGAAGGCAGCUUACUAGGCUGUAACUGACGCCGAGGCACGAAAGUGUGGGGAUCAAACAGG
rnacentral:rRNA from 1 species